AAUCCACCAUUAGCAUGUUUGGGAUCCACUACUGGAUGGUUAACAGCAGCUUUUGUAACUGUACGCCGACCAUAUCGAAUUAUGCUCUGCUAAAAAUGAACUCUUUGCAGACCAACCCUCUCGGCUGUCAGUGUUUUCCGUUUUCCUAUUUUAACGUUUGUGUAUAGUGGCAGGCGACAGAUGGUGUAGAUCAGAUCGAUUUGAUUGCAUUAGAUGAUUUUUUCCCUUCCCCACUCCUUUCUGGAAGCUCGCAUCAGCUGAAGGCUAUCGCCUGGGACUCCUCGGAAGCAUGAGCAAGCCGCCACCACGCGAAGGCACUGGGGCACAGCCAGCGCGAGGCGCCGAGGUCCCUUCCCAAGGCUUGUUAACACUGUAACCCGGCACUCGGAGAGAAGAAGCAGCUCACACUGCCCAGAGCCUACCUCACUGCACAUCAGAUGACUCCCUGGCUUCUACACACAGUUGGAGUUCCGCUUGAAACCUGGAUUUAGAGGGGUUCUCUGGCCGCCAUGGCACUCAAUCAUACCACCUAGAGUGGACUGGCCGAGACCAGACUGGGUACCAAGCAGAGAAGUGCAGAGGAAAGCACUGGGAGAGCACCAGAAUUGGAAAUAGAGCGGCCAUUUGGAUUUGGGCAGGAAGCAGCCGAGCACAGCUUUGGAUCCUUCUUUAGGGAAAUCGAGUUAUGGAUUUAUGGUCCCGGUCAAGCUCAGCCCAUCCCCAGGCAGGGGCGGGCUCAGCGAGCAGCAAGAGUUCUGGUGGCGGCGGCGGCGGCAGUAGCAGCGGCAGCGGUAGCAGCGGCAGCGGUAGCAGCGGCAGCGGCAGCUUGGUCCUCUGACUCUCUUCGGUGACGGGUAUUCUUGGGUGGAUAAUACGGAUUACGUUGUUAUUGCUUAAGAAUACGCGUAGUCGAGGAGAGUACCAGCGGCAGGGGGGCAGCGGCCGCCCUCCCCAGCCCACCAGCUGGCCACUAAACGCCCGUGGUUGCCAAGGCAUCCAAAGCCUCUGGGAUGUGUUCUGACUGUAAAAACUCUGAUGUUGUGAAAAAAGCUUACGCUUUGCCUCCACUCAAACCAGAUGGUGUUUCGCUCUUAUUGCCCAGGCUGGAGUGCAAUGACGUGAUCUUGACUCACCACAGCCUCUGCAUCCAGGAUUCAAGCUAUUCCCCUGCCUCAGCCUCCCAAAAUGCUGGGAUUAUAGGCGUGAGCCACCACGCCUGGCCAGCAUUCCCAAUUUUUAAAAAUGAAUGAUUGGCACAAAUCUUAGAAAGCCAUUUUCUGUAGAUUUGAAAGCAAUGCUAUUUACAUUGUUACUACUUUCUUGUUAAAUCUUGCAUGUCUGCAGUAUGUGUUGUAAUAGAAACCUAAGAUUAUGAUCUGCUGUAUUCAUAUUUGAAGAAGAAAAUUUCAGACUGUAUAAUCAACUAGUUGAUGAUUCAUAUUUGCUUGUACAAAGUUAAAAGUGUAACUUGCCAGAAAAGAAGGAAGCCUGAAAAGUAUUCUAAAUACAUUAAUAAGAAGGGUUCUACAUGAAUUAAUUUUUGUUUUGCCAUCUACAGAGUUCCUGCCACAUUCUAGGCACUUCAUAUUUGCUGCAACAUUUAUUCAGACAUUGACAGAACAAGAGAAACGAAGUUAAAUUUUAAGUACCAUGGAUUGAAAUUAAAUUUAGGGAAGAUAUUUUAUAGUAUGAAUUGUUCAUCUGUAUUUAACAAGGUAUUCAUUUAUUUUGGGCGAUUUAAGGAAGGUCCUUUCUGGAAACAGGAUUACAAACAUAUGGACCUAUUUAGUCAAUUUCAACCUUGUGAUUUUGAAUCUGACAGGUUCUCAGCUGCUUUUAUUAAAUAACGGAUUUUCUUAAUAAUUACUGUACUCAAACUUAGCAAAAAGCUCUAUUUAUAGCCCAGUUUUUUAGUCACACACUAUUGUGUCUUGUCAAAUUGAAACCAUAUACUACAUUCUUUACUUAUUAAGAUGGUCUUUCUUUGUAAUAAUUUUGGAGUAAAUAGUUUACUUAUCUAAACCUCUGAUUUCUGAUUUAACAGAUUUUUGAAGCAUUUAUUUUCCUUACCAUACAUAAAAAUUGUCAGUUGAGGACAAGGAAGGAUUAACCUGGACUACGGUGAAUAAUUGUUCAGGUUGCUUACUGUGUAACUCCAGAGGAGCAUUCACAUGGUACAAUUUGCAGAUUUAAGUAUUUAUUACAACCAUUUUCUGGCAGAUAACAGUGGAACACCCUGUUCUGUUAAAAUUAGUUUAUUAUGACAAAUUGCCUACAGAUGGACAUAAACUGUCUUGAGGAAGGGCACCUGCUUUGGACUGAAUCGUGUCCCCCCAAAAUCAAAUGUUGAAGCCUAAUCUCUAAUAUGAUGGUAUUUGGAGAUGGGGCCUUUGGGAGAUAACUAGGUUUAGAUGAGGUCAAGAGUGUGGGGCCUUCCUGAUUAGUACCCUGAAAAGAGAAAACACCAGAGAGCUUGCCCUCUCUCCCUCUUACCCCACAGGCACACAAAGAGGUCAUGUGAGUACACAGUGAGAUAACAACCACCUAUGAGAAAACAGAAGAGGCUUCAGAGUGAAAUCUACUUUGCUGGUACUGUAAUCUUGGACAUUAUUCUCUAGAACUGUGAGAUAAUAAAUUUAUCUUAUUU
rnacentral:lncRNA from 1 species